rnacentral:rRNA from 1 species
GACGGGACCCGCACAAGCGGUGGAUGAUGUGGAUUAAUUCGAUGCAACGCGAAAACCUUACCUACCCUUGACAUGUCCGGAAUCCGAGGAGAUUUGGGAGUGCUCGCAAGAGAGCCGGAACACAGGUGCUGCAUGGCUGUCGUCAGCUCGUGUCGUGAGAUGUUGGGUUAAGUCCCGCAACGAGCGCAACCCUUGUCAUUAGUUGCCAUCAUUUGGUUGGGCACUCUAAUGAGACUGCCGGUGACAAACCGGAGGAAGGUGGGGAUGACGUCAAGUCCUCAUGGCCCUUAUGGGUAGGGCUUCACACGUCAUACAAUGGUCGGUACAGAGGGUUGCCAACCCGCGAGGGGGAGCUAAUCCCACAAAGCCGAUCGUAGUCCGGAUCGCAGUCUGCAACUCGACUGCGUGAAGUCGGAAUCGCUAGUAAUCGUGGAUCAGCAUGUCACGGUGAAUACGUUCCCGGGUCUU